rnacentral:rRNA from 1 species
AGAGUUUGAUCCUGGCUCAGGACGAACGCUGGCGGCGUGCCUAAUACAUGCAAGUCGAGCGAAUCUUUAGGAGCUUGCUCCUGAAGAUUAGCGGCGGACGGGUGAGUAACACGUGGGUAACCUGCCCAUAAGACUGGGAUAACUCCGGGAAACCGGGGCUAAUACCGGAUAACAUUUUGCACCACAUGGUGCGAAAUUGA